ensembl:lncRNA
CAUAGAGUCAGCUCUAAAGCUAACAGUUACUACCCAUAGAGUCAGCUCUACAGCUAACAGUUACUACCCAUAGAGUCAGCUCUACAGCUAACAGUUACUACCCAUAGAGUCAGCUCUACAGCUAACAGUUACUACCCAUAGAGUCAGCUCUACAGCUAACAGUUACUACCCAUAGAGUCAGCUCUACAGCUAACAGUUACUACCCAUAGAGUCAGCUCUAAGGCUAACAGUUACUACCCAUAGAGUCAGCUCUACAGCUAACAGUUACUACCCAUAGAGUCAGCUCUACAGCUAACAGUUACUACCCAUAGAGUCAGCUCUCUAACAGUUACUACCCAUAGAGUCAGCUCUAAUGCUAACAGUACUACCCAUAGAGUCAGCUCUAAUGCUAACAGUACUACCCAUAGAGUCAGCUCUAAUGCUAACAGUACUACCCAUAGAGUCAGCUCUAAGGCUAACAGUUACUACCCAUAGAGUCAGGCUAACAGUUACUACCCAUAGAGUCAGCUCUACAGCUAACAGUUACUACCCAUAGAGUCAGCUCUAAGGCUAACAGUUACUACCCAUUGAGUCAGCUCUACAGCUAACAGUUACUACCCAUAGAGUCAGCUCUACAGCUAACAGUUACUACCCAUAGAGUCAGCUCUACGGCUAACAGUUACUACCCAUAGAGUCAGCUCUACAGCUAACAGUUACUACCCAUAGAGUCAGCUCUACAGCUAACAGUUACUACCCAUAGAGUCAGCUCUACAGCUAACAGUUACUACCCAUAGAGUCAGCUCUAAGGCUAACAGUUACUACCCAUAGAGUCAGCUCUAAGGCUAACAGUUACUACCCAUAGAGUCAGUUCUAAGGCUAACAGUUACUACCCAUAGAGUCAGCUCUAAGGCUAACAUUACUACCCAUAGAGUCAGCUCUAAGGCUAACAGUUACUACCCAUAGAGUCAGCUCUAAGGCUAACAGUUACUACCCAUAGAGUCAGCUCUACAGCUAACAGUUACUACCCAUAGAGUCAGCUCUACAGCUAACAGUUACUACCCAUAGAGUCAGCUCUACGGCUAACAGUUACUACCCAUAGAGUCAGCUCUAAGGCUAACAGUUACUACCCAUAGAGUCAGCUCUACAGCUAACAGUUACUACCCA